AGUGCAUUCACAUAUAUCUACACACUUUCAUACACACACAAUUUUUUGUAUUUUUUUUUUGUAUUUUUAUUUAUGUAUUUAUUGCAUUUUUGUUUAGCAAAAAAUGUUGCUUCUCCCCUUUCCUCUCUUCUAGGUCUGUCCCUGGCCUGUCCCACAGCUUCCUUCAGUGAUGGGUUGUGAGUGGCUCUGUUGAUGAUUGACUGUCUAUUGUUGAUUGAUGUCAGUCCAGAUAUGCUGUUAACGUAGUGAUUGCUGAUGUAUCUUGGUAGUCUGUAAGCCAUUUUUAUUGCCAUGUUUUGGAUGAUCUGUAGCCGAUUCAUCUGCUGUGGUGAAGCUGUUAUCCAGGCUGGCAGGGCGUAUUCAAAGAGAGAUCGGAUGUAGCUGAUGUAGACUUUCAGCACUCUGAGAUGUUUUGCCAGAAGGUCCGGGGGUUGGUGUCUGCAUCUAGCUGGUGAUAAAAGGCCGUCCACGGUUUCUGUUUGUGGAGGGUGCUUGUUGGAGUUGGAGAGAGGAGGAGGCAAGGACCGGAAGGUGGUCACUUCCCAUGACAUGACUGACGGAGAAGCUAAGGAGUUUAGCAGCCAAGUCCGGGGAGCAGAGGACAAGAUUAAGGAUGUCUGCCGUGGAGGUUGAAGAAUGGAUGUGUGUGGGCUCGUUGGUGAUGAGGAUGGCCAGAUUUGUGUUGUCGAGGAUAUCCCUUGAUACUCUUCCCGCAUGAUUUGUAGUAUCACAGUUGAAGUCAAUGUGUUUGGCAUUAAAAUCUCCCAUUAUGAUGGUAUGGCCGUUGUUGUCUAGAAGGGCAGCGAUCAAUUUUUUGGAGGGUGUUGUUGCGGGUGGACAGUAUAUAGUGGCUACCAGAGGAGUUGUUUGUGCAUUUAGGAGUAUUUUUGCUGCAGUGUACUCAUUGUUGUUGAGUUCUUCUUUGGUGAGGUUGAAAAUGGCGGUUAGCUAUCUCUCUGCCUUCUUGCUGCCAUACUCCUGGUCACUACCAGAUGGUGCUAUUUACCUACCAGGCUUUGCCAAUUACCCUCAGCUUCAGGUAGUUGACCCUGAAAACAGGGUCAGAUAUUUAUCAUCCCUCCAAUGCAGGGUUCAGGUCAGGAUUGUAGGUAGAGUAAUCUGAUCCUAGAGCUGUUGUUAGGUUAAACUUAUAUUUAAAGUAUAAUACAUGCAUGACCCCAGUGGGAAUGUUAUGGAAU